AGAUUAAAAGAUUGAAAAAAUGAAAUAUAUAAUAUUUGGUAAAAAAAAUAGAAAAAGAACAAUGGUAAAACUAUCACAAAAAAAUUUUAUGUCUCCGUAUUAAUAUUUGAAUAUAAAUGAUAAUGUAGAAAUUAUGGAAAAAUAGACUACUUUAUUAAUAUAUUAGUAAAAACAUUGGCCUUAUAAAAACCACAAAAAAUUAGGUCCCUGUAUUAAAUAUAUGAGUAUAAAUAUAUCCUUUUAAAAUUAUUAAAAAAUAGGUAACCUUGUUAAUAUGUUAGUGAAAAUAUAGAUCCUACAUAAAUCAUCAAAAUAAUUAUGUCACCGUAUUAAAUAUGAGUAUAACCCGUAAAAUUGCAAAACAAAAUAGACAACUUAAUUAAUAUAUAAAUAAAAGUAUAAGCCCCGUAGAAAUCACAAAAAAAAAUCCAUAUUAAUAUAUGAGUAUUUUAUAGGUUCCGUAGAUGUUAUAAAAGAACGGACAAACAUAUUAAUAUGAGUAAAAAACAUAAGUCCCGCAUAAACCACACAAAAGAUCAGGUUAUCAUAUAUUAAUAUAUGAGUAUAAAUAUAAGUUCACAAAAAUUAGUUAAAAACUGUAAAUUUUAUUAAUAGGAGUAAAAAUAUAGGCCCUGCAUACGUGUAUGAUAUAAACUGUUGUUGUUUUGUUUGGCAUACCUUGUGCCAAUCAGGACUCAUUAUUAAUAAUAAAAUUCAUUUUAGUUUAUUCAAAAAAAAAAAACACAAGCACCGCAGAAAUCACACAAAAGAUAUAUGUCAAGAAUGAGCAACCUUAUUAAUAUAUUAAUAAAAAAAUAUAUGUCUCGUAAAAAUGAACAAAAUAAUUAGGUUCUUGUAUUAAUAUUUGAUCUAGUAUAACCCGCAAAAUUAUAAAAAAAGAAACAACUUUAUUAAUAUAUAUGAUUAAAAUUAUAAGUCUCGUAGAAAUCACAAAAAAAAAGGUUAUCUUAUUAAUUCAUGACUAUAAAUAUAUAUAGGUCCUACAUAAAUUAUUAAGGAAUAUGAAAUCUUAUUAAUAAGAGAAAAAACAUAUGCCACUUUUUGUUUUUUCAUAGUCGCCCCACAACAACAUAGUAAACCAUACUUUUUGCUUUCUAUUCUUGUUCAUCUUCCAAAGAGGGGUGAUUUUGGAUCAAUUUUGAUCUGAAAUCACCCCCUUUUGAUUGUUUUAUAUUUUUUUUUUAUUUAAAUAAGUGAUUUUCACACAUUCUUAUGUUUCAUUUGAGUUUUUUUUUGUUCUUGUUUGAUGUUGUUUUAAUCCCGUCUUAGUGCAGAAUUUUUUGUCUUGAGUUUGCGUCUUGGUACGGUGUUCGGUUUAAUUCCGUUGUAGUACGAUGUUUGUUUUGUUCAAAUUUGCAGAUUUGCUCCGAUUCAGACUCAGUGCAGAUUCACACGUAAUCUACUUACUUGAAUAAAUGAAUAUUGUUUGUUGUUAGUCUAAAAAAAAGAGGAAAAACAUAGGUCUCGUAGAAUUCACACGAAAGAUUAUGUCUCCAUAUUAAUAUAUAACUAUAACUCGUAAAAUUAU
rnacentral:lncRNA from 1 species